rnacentral:rRNA from 1 species
UACGAAGGGGGGCUAGCGUUGUUCGGAUUCAUUGGGCGUAAAGGGUGCGUAGGCGGCGCGGUAAGUCGGGUGUGAAAUCUCGGAGCUUAACUCCGAAACUGCAUUCGAUACUGCCGUGCUUGAGGACUGGAGAGGAGACUGGAAUUUACGGUGUAGCGGUGAAAUGCGUAGAUAUCGUAAGGAAGACCAGUGGACGGAAGGCGGGUCUCUGGACAGUUCCUGACGCUGAGGCACGAAGGCCAGGGGAGCAAACGGG